rnacentral:tRNA from 8 species
CGGGCUGUGGCGCAGCUUGGUAGCGCGCUUCGUUCGGGACGAAGAGGCCGCGAGUUCAAAUCUCGCCAGCCCGACCC